GCGGUGGAGCAUGUGGUUUAAUUCGACGCAACGCGAAGAACCUUACCAGGUCUUGACAUCCCUGACAACCCGAGAGAUCGGGCGUUCCCUCGUUCGGGGGGACAGGGUGACAGGUGGUGCAUGGUUGUCGUCAGCUCGUGUCGUGAGAUGUUGGGUUAAGUCCCGCAACGAGCGCAACCCUCGACCUUAGUUGCCAGCAUUCAGUUGGGCACUCUAAGGUGACUGCCGGCUAAAAGUCGGAGGAAGUGGGGAUGACGUCAAAUCAUCAUGCCCCUUAUGACCUAGGCUACACACGUGCUACAAUGGGCGGCACAAAGGGUCGCGAACCCGCGAGGGGGAGCCAAUCCCAAAAAGCCGCUCUCAGUUCGGAUUGCAGGCUGCAACUCGCCUGCAUGAAGCCGGAAUCGCUAGUAAUCGCGGAUCAGCAUGCCGCGGUGAAUACGUUCCCGGGCCCU
rnacentral:rRNA from 1 species